rnacentral:rRNA from 1 species
CCUACGGGUGGCAGCAGUAGGGAAUCUUCCGCAAUGGACGAAAGUCUGACGGAGCAACGCCGCGUGAGCGAAGAAGGUCUUCGGAUCGUAAAGCUCUGUUGUUAGGGAAGAACAAGUACGGGAGGAAAUGACCGUACCUUGACGGUACCUAACGAGGAAGCCACGGCUAACUACGUGCCAGCAGCCGCGGUAAUACGUAGGUGGCAAGCGUUGUCCGGAAUUAUUGGGCGUAAAGAGCGCGCAGGCGGUCUUUUAAGUCUGAGGUGAAAUCUUGCGGCUCAACCGUAAGAGGUCAUUGGAACCUGGGAGAGUAGAGUGCAGAAUAGGAAAGCGGAAUCCCACGUGUAGCGGUGAAAUGCGUAGGGAUGUGGAGGACCGCCAGUGGCGAAGGAGGCUUUAUGGUAUGUAACUGACGCUGAGGCGCGAAAGCGUGGGGAGCAAACAGGAUUAGCUACCGCUGUAGGC